rnacentral:lncRNA from 1 species
UCGGCUCACCGCAACGCAUCGCGAGCCCGAUCCACACGCGCGGUCCAGGGCUCAUGAGGAGAGAGAAGAAGGUCCGAAGGGCAACCUGGUAACUUCACAUCAAGUUUUUGGCACCAUUGUCGGGGAUUUGGCAUUUUAAAUUAUUUUCAAAUAUUUGUUCUUCGUGCUUUAUAACUCUCUUUCUUUUUCCUUUAGGUUUCUAGAUUUAGUUGGUGAUUGCUGGAAAACUCAGGCACGCUUCUAAUUUCUCUUUUAUUAUUUUUAGUUAAUUACUUUUCCUUUUAGACCUAAUCAUUUGAAUUUACUUAAUCACAAAAAANNNNNNN